UAGGAACUUCAUACCGUGCUUU
rnacentral:miRNA from 1 species